AGUUAAAAAUCUGCGGUUUUUAAUUGCACCUGAGGAUGCCCCCCUGCUCUGUUCCUAGCUGGUGUUCGACAGGCGGAACGGAAGGAUUGAAGUUCCUUAGAAUGAAGGAAGGCUGGCACCAUGGUGUGAGGAAGCCGAAGCCACACAGAGGCUGCACGUGGAUGCUCCAGCCAACUGCCCCAGCUGAGGCUCAGCCGCCAGACAUGGGCAUGAAGACAUCUUCAGAACAACUCUGGCCCCAGCCGCCGUGAUGGCAGGAGAGGCUCCCAGAGAGAACCAGCCAACCCCCAGGACUGUGGGACAUAGUAACAAAAUCUUGUUGGGGGUGAUAUUUUACCUAAAGAACAAUGAACAAAAAAUGCUGAUGUGUCA
rnacentral:lncRNA from 10 species